AUUGAACGCUGGCGGCGUGCUUAACACAUGCAAGUCGUGCGGUAACAGGCGUAGCAAUACGUGCUGACGAGCGGCGAACGGGUGCGUAAUACAUGGGAAUCUGCCCUUUAGUGGGGAAUAACCCGGCGAAAGCCGGGCUAAUGCCGCAUAAGAUCUUCGGAUGAAAGCGGGGAUCGUAAGACCUCGCGCUGAUGGAUGAGCCCAUGUCGGAUUAGCUAGNGGUGAGGUAACGGACUCACCAAGGCGACGAUCCGUAGCUGGUCUGAGAGGACGGCCAGCCACACUGGGACUGAGACACGGCCCAGACUCCUACGGGAGGCAGCAGUGGGAAUAUUGGACAAUGGGCGAAAGCCUGAUCCAGCGACGCCGCGUGUGUGAAGAAGGCC
rnacentral:rRNA from 1 species